UGGGGAAUUUUGGACAAUGGGGGCAACCCUGAUCCAGCAAUGCCGCGUGUGUGAAGAAGGCCUUCGGGUUGUAAAGCACUUUUGUCCGGAAAGAAAACGCCGUGGUUAAUACCCGUGGCGGAUGACGGUACCGGAAGAAUAAGCACCGGCUAACUACGUGCCAGCAGCCGCGGUAAUACGUAGGGUGCAAGCGUUAAUCGGAAUUACUGGGCGUAAAGCGUGCGCAGGCGGUCCGCUAAGACAGAUGUGAAAUCCCCGGGCUUAACCUGGGAACUGCAUUUGUGACUGGCGGGCUAGAGUAUGGCAGAGGGGGGUAGAAUUCCACGUGUAGCAGUGAAAUGCGUAGAGAUGUGGAGGAAUACCGAUGGCGAAGGCAGCCCCCUGGGCCAAUACUGACGCUCAUGCACGAAAGCGUGGGGAGCAAACAGGAUUAGAUACCCUGGUAGUCCACGCCCUAAACGAUGUCAACUAGUUGUCGGGUCUUCAUUGACUUGGUAACGUAGCUAACGCGUGAAGUUGACCGCCUGGGGAGUACGGUCGCAAGAUUAAAACUCAAAGGAAUUGACGGGGUCAUAGCUGUUUCCUG
rnacentral:rRNA from 1 species